rnacentral:rRNA from 1 species
GUCUGCGCCGAUCUCGUCUGAUCUCCGAAGCUAAGCAGGGUCGGGCCUGGUUAGGACUUGUAUGGGAGACUGCUUGGGAAUACCAGGUGCUGUAAGCU